rnacentral:rRNA from 1 species
UACCAGCUCCUCGAGUGGUCGGGGCGAUUAUUGGGCCUAAAGCAUCCGUAGCCGGUUCCGUAGGUCCUCUGUUAAAUCCAACCGCUUAACGGUUGACCUGCAGAGGAUACCGCGGGACUAGGAGGCGGGAGAGGCGGACGGUACUCCGCGUGUAGGGGUAAAAUCCUUUGAUCCGCGGAAGACCACCAGUGGCGAAGGCGGUCCGGCCAGAACGCGCUCGACGGUGAGGGAUGAAAGCUGGGGGGAGCGAACCGG